GGCAUAUGCAGAAACAAAAUGUUUAGGCUACAUAGAAACCUAAAUAUUUUGAAAGUCACGACACCUGUGCUGUUAAGAAACCCACAACAUUUUCAUGGAAAGCACUGGAUUUGUCUGUAUUAAGAUAAGCAAAGGGACUUUCAGCCAUCCCUCAUACCUCCUUUGUUUUUUUCCCCUAGACUUCCCUCUGUGUUACCGGGCUGAGUUAGUGGAUUUGACAUGGCUUCCUAGGGGCAUCCCUUUAGAAGGGAAUGAUUGUCUUGGUCUGCAGUUCAAAAUUUGAUCCCCUUAAAGACACGGCCUUUGUGCAAUAGCUGUACCAUGUGGGGGAAUUCACAGACUUUGGAGAAGAACAGACCUUGAAAGAUCAUUCAGCAUAUUCCGUGACCCUCAGAGAAGGCUUACAGCAGACUCAUUGGAUUCUGCGCGUGUUGAAGGCUUUUUGCCACCUGUGGCCCUUCAUUCUUGGCUGAAUCAUGUGGUAUCUCAUACUAAGCAAACAGCACUACUUUCAAGUGGGUUAUCUAAAGAGCUAUUCAUAAAAUUCUUUGCAGAUUUGACGCCCUUAGGUUUUUGUGAUGCAACACUCUUUUAGGGUGCUAGACCUUUUAACGCAUCCCAAAUUCCAAUGCCUGUUAGAAAAGCAAGAGCCUCUUGAAGCAAAUAUACUGCAGGAUCAAAAACAGUUAUGAAGUUGACAGACUUUGAAGUUGUGGCAAGAUUAAAUGGACUAUACACCCAAGCCAAAUAGGGAAAGAUAAGACAGAUUGACACUUUUUUUUUCAUACUGUUUGGGGCCACUCUCAAGACUGCAUUUCAAAGAACUAUACAUGGUUUGAUUUGUACUUUUCCACAUUAGCAAUAGCUCAUGGGUCCCAUGGUUGUUAGGCACUCAUUUAGACUGUGACCUAACUUACUCAGGUGACAAAUUGGCUCGUGGUAAAAAUUCAUAAUGCGAUUUGGGGUUAAGGGAGCAGGGAGCAACAGAGGAGGAUGGAAUUGAACAGGUGCCCCAGAAAAUUGUGUAGGGGGGCUCAAGCUCCCCAAUACACCAUAUUCCAAUAGCUCACUAUCAUAUUAAAGUACU
rnacentral:lncRNA from 1 species